rnacentral:rRNA from 1 species
UACGGAGGGGGCUAGCGUUGUUCGGAAUUACUGGGCGUAAAGGGCGCGUAGGCGGCGCAACAAGUCAGCUGUGAAAUCUCCGGGCUUAACCCGGAGCGGCCAGCUGAUACUGUCGUGCUAGAGUGCGGAAGGGGCUACUGGAAUUCUCGGUGUAGCGGUGAAAUGCGUAGAUAUCGAGAGGAACACCUGUGGCGAAGGCGGGUAGCUGGGCCGACACUGACGCUGAGGCGCGAAAGCUAGGGGAGCGAACGGG